CUCGUUACCAGUUUGUUGUUGUGUGAGGAAUGAAAUUGGAAUUGAGAGCGAACUGACAGGGAUUCCAGAUCAGUUUAGAACUGGGAACCGCAGUUGUCAAAUAUGAUGCAAUUAGGCAACGGAAAAGGAAGAAUGACAACCCAUCAACCUCGAUUCAGAAAGUACAGGAGAUGACAGUUGAUGAAAAUACAGAUGACACCAACAAAAGCAAACAUCGACAAAGUAU
rnacentral:lncRNA from 1 species